rnacentral:rRNA from 1 species
GAUGAACGCUAGCUACAGGCUUAACACAUGCAAGUCGAGGGGCAGCGCAGUGUAGCAAUACAUGGGCGGCGACCGGCGCACGGGUGCGUAACGCGUAUCCAACCUUCCCGUUACUCAGGGAUAGCCUUCCGAAAGGGAGAUUAAUACCUGAUGGUGUUCAAAUUCCGCAUGUUAUUUGAACUAAAGAUUUAUCGGUAACGGAUGGGGAUGCGUGACAUUAGAUAGUAGGCGGGGUAACGGCCCACCUAGUCUACGAUGUCUAGGGGUGCUGAGAGGAAGGUCCCCCACACUGGAACUGAGACACGGUCCAGACUCCUACGGGAGGCAGCAGUGAGGAAUAUUGGUCAAUGGUCGGAAGACUGAACCAGCCAAGUAGCGUGAAGGAUGAAGGUUCUAUGGAUUGUAAACUUCUUUUAUACGGGAAUAAAACCACCUACGUGUAGGUGCUUGUAUGUACCGUAUGAAUAAGCAUCGGCUAACUCCGUGCCAGCCGCCGCGGUAAAAC